ensembl:antisense Gm11842 predicted gene 11842
UACAGGCUUUGCAAAGGAAUGCCUGAACCUGGACAGUAGGAGAGCUGAGGCUGGAUUUCUGUUUGAGGCAUAGCUGGAGGGAACGUUUGAUGAUCUAUGCAAAAGAAAUUCUGGAAGGAAAUGAUUCUACAGAGAGGGAAGGAGAAAAGCUGAGACCCUGAAAAGCUGAGUCUGCUCUUCACUUGCUCUUCUUGAUUUCGGGGAAGUCUUCACAAUGGUCAGUUGGAAAGUUUCAGAUUACGAUGACUUCAUGUAGAGAAAACAAUAUGAAAGCUCAUCUGUUCUAACAGCGCUGACAACUAAUGGUAUGUGAGGAAGGAUGCUAAAACAAAGUCCUGGCAAGCCAAAUCCACAACACAGAAGAACAACAGAUCAAAGAUGAGGAGCGUGGCCUCGUUCCCAUAAUACAGCACACUGCUGAAAGAAUGGCCUUCAUCUACAAAAAACAUGUGCAAGAUGUGUCAAACAGUGUCAGAAAAGGUCUGUGCUACCCUCUGGUGACAGCAGAUUAAACAUGAAGUAUGUUAUGGCUCACACUAAAGUAAAAGGUGUU